AUUGAACGCUGGCGGCAUGCCUUACACAUGCAAGUCGAACGGCAGCACGGGAGCAAUCCUGGUGGCGAGUGGCGAACGGGUGAGUAAAGUAUCGGAACGUGCCCAGUCGUGGGGGAUAACGUAGCGAAAGUUACGCUAAUACCGCAUACGAUCUAUGGAUGAAAGCGGGGGAUCGCAAGACCUCGCGCGAUUGGAGCGGCCGAUAUCAGAUUAGGUAGUUGGUGGGGUAAAGGCUCACCAAGCCGACGAUCUGUAGCUGGUCUGAGAGGACGACCGGCCACACUGGGACUGAGACACGGCCCAGACUCCUACGGGAGGCAGCAGUGGGGAAUUUUGGACAAUGGGCGAAAGCCUGAUUCAGCCAUGCCGCGUGCAGGAUGAAGGCCUUCGGGUUGUAAACUGCUUUUGUACGGAACGAAAAGGUUUGGCCUAAUAAGCUGAGCUCAUGACGGUACCGUAAGAAUAAGCACCGGCUAACUACGUGCCAGCCGCCGCAGUAA
rnacentral:rRNA from 1 species